rnacentral:rRNA from 1 species
GACGAACGCUGGCGGCGUGCUUAACACAUGCAAGUCGAACGGUAAGGCCCUUCGGGGUACACGAGUGGCGAACGGGUGAGUAACACGUGGGUGAUCUGCCCUGCACUUCGGGAUAAGCCUGGGAAACUGGGUCUAAUACCGGAUAGGACCCUGGGAUGCAUGUCCUGGGGUGGAAAGCUUUUGCGGUGUGGGAUGGGCCCGCGGCCUAUCAGCUUGUUGGUGGGGUGAUGGCCUACCAAGGCGACGACGGGUAGCCGGCCUGGGAGGGUGACCGGCCACACUUGGAAUGGGAUACGGCCCAGACUCCUACGGGAGGCAGGAGGGGGGAAUAAUUGACAAUGGGCGCAAGCCUGAUGCAGCGACGCCGCGUGAGGGAUGGCGGCCUUCGGGUUGUAAACCUCUUUCAGCACCGACGAAGCGCAAGUGACGGUAGGUGCAGAAGAAGGACCGGCCAACUACGUGCCAGCCGCCGCGGUAA